CCUACGGGUGGCUGCAGUGGGGAAUAUUGCACAAUGGGCGCAAGCCUGGUGCAGCCAUGCCGCGUGUGUGAAGAAGGCCUUCGGGUUGUAAAGCACUUUCAGCGGGGAGGAAGGCGUUAAGGUUAAUAACCUUGGCGAUUGACGUUACCCGCAGAAGAAGCACCGGCUAACUCCGUGCCAGCAGCCGCGGUAAUACGGAGGGUGCAAGCGUUAAUCGGAAUUACUGGGCGUAAAGCGCACGCAGGCGGUCUGUCAAGUCGGAUGUGAAAUCCCCGGGCUCAACCUGGGAACUGCAUUCGAAACUGGCAGGCUAGAGUCUUGUAGAGGGGGGUAGAGUUCCAGGUGUAGCGGUGAAAUGCGUAGAGAUCUGGAGGAAUACCGGUGGCGAAGGCGGCCCCCUGGACAAAGACUGACGCUCAGGUGCGAAAGCGUGGGGAGCAAACAGGAUUAGAUACCCGUGUAGUC
rnacentral:rRNA from 1 species